rnacentral:lncRNA from 1 species
UCAAGUGAUCCACCAGCCUUGGCCUCCCAAAGUGCGGGAUUACAGGGCCUAAAAUCCAACCUCAAAUUGGAAACUGGAAAUGCAGAGGAGAAAGGAGCUAAGCUGAUGGGCGAAGUCACGAAGUCCUUGUGAGGCUGUUUCCUUACCCUUUGAUGAGGUGUAGUCACAGCUUCAGAGGCUCCCCGCAAAGUUUUUGUCAUCAGUGAUGGAACACAAGAUGUAAGAGCUGAAGAGUUAUGAACACAAAUGUGAAACCUUGCCUACUGGAGCUGCCACUAGAAAGCCCGCCAACAUGGCAUUGGGACGAAUAUAAUCAAAGUCUCCCACCCCUAAACAGAGAAAAACAAAAUAUAGCAUAUGGCCAAAGUGAUUUAUCUUUAUACUUUUUUUAAUCUUUAAAAGAUAUUUAUUGCCCUAUAAUAUACCUACAGAAAAAUGCACUGACCCUCAGUGUACAUGAGAUUCUUUCAUAAAUUUCAUGUGUACAUGCGUACUUCAAGUGUACGUGAAAUGACCUCUGUUUAUAUUCCAUCACAAUGCCUGGACAAGACUUACUUAAUAUAAGUGAAAAAAUCA